AAAUUAAGUAAAGGGAAGGGUAGGAAAUUAGGUAAUACUGAAUGAAAGUGAAAAAAUUAUACCUGAAAAAAAGGGGAAGUUGAAAAAGAUUACGAAUAAUAUGUAUUUAGAUGAAAGUGUAAAAGGAUAUGAUGAUUAAAAUGAAGGUACAUGGAAAGGACAUUGAAAUUAAGUAAAGGGAAGGGUAGGAAAUUAGGUAAUACUGAAUGAAAGUGAAAAAAUUAUACCUGAAAAAAAGGGGAAGUUGAAAAGAGGUUUGGAAUAUUAUGUAUUUAGAUGAAAGUGUAAAAGGAUAUGAUGAUUAAAAUAGAGGUACAGGGAAAGGACAUUGAAAUUAAGUAAAGGGAACGGUAGGAAAUUAGGUAAUGCAAAUUGAAAGUGAAAAAAUGAUAAUUGAAAAAAAGGGGAAGUUGAAAAGAGAUUACGAAUAUUAUGUAUUUAGAUGAAAGUGUAAAAGAAUUAAAAUGAAGGUACAGGGAAAGGACAUUGAAAUUAAGUAAAAUAAUAAGUGGAGGUAUAGAAAGAUAAUGGAAUAACAGGAAGAGGAGAUAAAUAGAUAAAUAAAGCAAGUAAGAAAUGAUAAAAAGGUAAGUACAUAUAUUUUUACCAUUAAUAUUAUCAUCAUUAUUAUUUUUAUUGUUAUUAUUACUGUUAUUAUUAUUACUUUAGGAAUGAGUACAAAAAAAGGAUAGCUGUACUUUUAUUUUUUUCAUUAUUGUUGAAGGAAAGUAGAAAAUUAGGCAAAGUACUUUUUAUAGUCACUUUUUAUGUAUGUAUGAUAGCAUAAGACCUUUGCAAUACACUUAAUAAUAAUAUAUAUAUGUGUGUGUGUUGACAUUUCCAGAUACAUUACUCUAUACAAAGGGCCUCACUGUUGCCAGAUUAUCGUACCCAGAGCAUAGUAUCUACUGGUUUCUGACUUCUGAUACCCUACGCCCCUGUCCACCCAGCAGUGAAUGGGUACCAAGUAUUAAUCGGGGGUCGUGUCCCGUCUCCUGGGAUCUGUUACCUUCUAUAAUUCCUUCCCCAUCCUGUCUCUCCGGCAUAUGACCACAGAUGUUGCGCCGACUAAACGAAACUUUCCAACCAGUUUCUGACGCCUAACUAUUGCCAAGAAACAUCAGAAGCUAGCUCUUUUAACGAUAACUAUAAAUGAGUUUCGUUAUUGGAGCCCAGAAGACAGUUUUGGGGUAGGAUGUUGGGAAAUAUAAACGGCUGAGUACGACAGUCUGGCAAUGUUGAAGGGGCUCUGUUUGGGGUCUUUUUUGAGAGGGUUUUGACACGACUAUAAAUAUAUUACUGGAUGCUAGAAGUUGAUUCCGUUCUAAGGGUUUGAAUGCUUCUUUAUGGAUUCUGGGAAGAGGAUCUGAAUGUAUGUAUGUGAGAAUGUGUAUGUGUGUUUUUUGUGAGGGUUUUGGCACAACUAUAAAUAUAUUACUGGAUGCUAGAAGUUGAUUCCGUUGUAAGGGUUUGAAUGCUUCUUUAUGGAUUCUGGGAAGAGGAUCUGAAUGUAUGUAUGUGAGAAUUUGUAUGUGUGUUUUUUGUGAGGGUUUUGGCACGACUAUAAAUAUAUUACUGGAUGCUAGAAGUUGAUUCCGUUGUAAGGGUUUGAAUGCUUCUUUAUGGAUUCUGGGAAGAGGAUCUGAAUGUAUGUAUGUGAGAAUUUGUAUGUGUGUUUUUUGAGAGGGUUUUGGCACAACUAUAAAUAUAUUACUGGAUGCUAGAAGUUGAUUCCGUUGUAAGGGUUUGAAUGCUUCUUUAUGGAUUCUGGGAAGAGGAUCUGAAUGUAUGUAUGUGAGAAUUUGUAUGUGUGUUUUUUUAUGCUUAAGAAACCUCAUUGUCUACCAGAAUGUAUUUUUUUAUGUAUCUAAAUUCUUUCAUUCUUCUCUACGGAAAUACAAGAAGUAGACUCAAGGUUUUAAAUAAGAGGUGAGAAAAUGAUAGUAACCAGAUAUACUGUUUUAAAUAAAGGUGUGAUUUUAA